AGUGAACGCUGGCGGCAGGCCUAACACAUGCAAGUCGAGCGGCAGCGGGUUCCCGCGAGGGGAUGCCGGCGAGCGGCGGACGGGUGAGGAACACAUCGGAAUCUGCCUGGUUGUGGGGGAUAACGUAGGGAAACUUACGCUAAUACCGCAUGAGACCCUGAGUCGACGGACUGGGGGUGAAAGUGAGGGACCUUCGGGCCUCACGCGACCAGAUGAGCCGAUGUCGGAUAGCUAGUUGGCGGGGGUAACGGCCCCGCCAAGGCGACGAUCCGUAGCUGGUCUGAGAGGAUGAUCAGCCACAC
rnacentral:rRNA from 1 species